AGCAGCCGCGGUAAUUCCAGCUCCAAUAGCGUAUAUUAAAGUUGUUGCAGUUAAAAAGCUCGUAGUUGAAUUUCGGGAUCAAUUUAUUGGUCGUGCUAUUGUACGUACUGGUAUUAUUGAUUUCUACCUUCUGACGAACCAUGAUGUCAUUAAUUUGGUGUCUUGGGGAAUCAGGACUGUUACUUUGAAAAAAUUAGAGUGUUUAAAGCAGGCUCACGCUUGAAUACAUUAGCAUGGAAUAACGAAAUAGGACGUUUGAUUCUAUUUUGUUGGUUUCUAGGAUCGACGUAAUGAUUAAUAGGGAUAGUUGGGGGCAUUAGUAUUCAAUUGUCAGAGGUGAAAUUCUUGGAUUUAUUGAAGACUAACUACUGCGAAAGCAUUUGCCAAGGAUGUUUUCAUUAAUCAAGAACGAAAGUUAGGGGAUCGAAGACGAUCAGAUACCGUCGUAGUCUUAACCAUAAACUAUGCCGACUAGGGAUCGGAUGAUGUUAAUUUUUUAAUGACUCAUUCGGCGCCUUAA
rnacentral:rRNA from 1 species